rnacentral:siRNA from 1 species
CGACCAGGGAUCAGCGGAU